rnacentral:tRNA from 1 species
GCGGAUGUGGCGGAAUGGCAGACGCAUCAGACUCAAAAUCUGACGGGGGUGACUUCGUGCGGGUUCAAGUCCCGCCAUCCGCACUA